UCGGGAAUUUUGGUCAAUGGGCGAAAGCCUGACCCAGCAACGCCGCGUGAGGGAUGAAGUAUUUCGGUAUGUAAACCUCGAAAGAAUGGGAAGAAUAAAUGACGGUACCAUUUAUAAGCUCCGGCUAACUACGUGCCAGCAGCCGCGGUAAUACGUAGGGAGCAAGCGUUGUUCGGAUUUACUGGGCGUAAAGGGCGCGUAGGCGGCGCGGUAAGUCACUUGUGAAAUCUCUGAGCUUAACUCAGAACGGCCAAGUGAUACUGCUGUGCUAGAGUGCGGAAGAGGCAACCGGAAUUCUUGGUGUAGCGGUGAAAUGCGUAGAUAUCAAGAGGAACACCUGAGGCGAAGGCGGGUUGCUGGGCCGACACUGACGCUGAUGCGCGAAAGCCAGGGGAGCAAACG
rnacentral:rRNA from 1 species